rnacentral:rRNA from 1 species
CUACGGGUUGCUCCAGUGAGGAAUAUUGCACAAUGGGGGGAACCCUGAUGCAGCAACGCCGCGUGGAGGAUGACGCAUUUCGGUGUGUAAACUCCUUUUAUAUGUCAAGAAAAUGACGGUAGCAUAUGAAUAAGCACCGGCUAACUCCGUGCCAGCAGCCGCGGUAAUACGGAGGGUGCAAGCGUUACUCGGAAUCACUGGGCGUAAAGGACGCGUAGGCGGGUUGGAAAGUCAGGUGUGAAAUUCUACAGCUUAACUGUAGAACUGCACUUGAAACUUCUAAUCUAGAGUAUGGGAGGGGGAGAUGGAAUUAGUGGUGUAGGGGUAAAAUCCGUAGAUAUCACUAGGAAUACCUAAAGCGAAGGCGAUCUCCUGGAGCAUUACUGACGCUAAGGCGUGAAAGCGUGGGGAGCAAACAGGAUUAGAUACCCGCGUAGUC